rnacentral:lncRNA from 10 species
CAAAGGUGGUGAUGAGCUGAGGACUGCAGGCAGCCUCUAGACACUGAAAAGGAAAGGAAUGGAUUCUCUUCUAGAGCCUCCAAAGAAACACAGCCCUGCCAGCAUCUUGACUUCAGCCCCAUAAGACCCAUUUCAGACUUCGAGCUUCUAGAACUGUAAGACAGGUCCAGGAUACAGCAAGCCACUGUUAGGAUGAAGCUACAGAUGGGCAGACCGCUCAAGAGCUGGGUUCCCACAAGACACUUGUUUCUAAAGGAAAACUGCUUAACUGUGUAUAAUCUUGAAAUUAUAGCUUGACAAAGAACAUCUUAA